CUGGUUGAUCCUGCCAGAGGUUACUGCUAUCGAGGUUCGACUAAGCCAUGCGAGUCGAAUGUAGCAAUACAUGGCGUACUGCUCAGUAACACGUGGACAACCUGCCCUUAGGUCGGGUAUAAACCCGGGAAACUGGGUAUAAUCCCCGCUAGAUCUCGGCUGCUGGAAUGCACCGAGAUUGAAAGCUCCGGCGCCUAAGGAUGGGUCUGCGGCCUAUCAGGUAGUAGUGGGUGUAGCGUACCUACUAGCCUACGACGGGUACGGGUUGUGAGAGCAAGAGCCCGGAGAUGGAUUCUGAGACACGAAUCCAGGCCCUACGGGGUGCAGCAGGCGCGAAAACUUUACAAUGCUGGCAACAGCGAUAAGGGAACCUCGAGUGCCAGGUUACAAAUCUGGCUGUCGAGAUGCCUAAAAAGCAUUUCAUAGCAAGGGCCGGGCAAGACCGGUGCCAGCCGCCGCGGUAACACCGGCGGCUCGAGUGGUAACCGUUAUUAUUGGGUCUAAAGGGUCUGUAGCCGGCCGGAUAAGUCUCUUGAGAAAUCUGGCAGCUUAACUGUCAGGCUUUCAGGGGAUACUGUCUGGCUCGAGGCCGGGAGAGGUGAGAGGUACUUCAGGGGUAGGGGUGAAAUCUUGUAAUCCUUGAAGGACCACCAGUGGCGAAGGCGUCUCACCAGAACGGACCUGACGGCAAGGGACGAAAGCUAGGGGCACGAACCGGAUUAGAUACCCGGGUAGUCCUAGCCGUAAACGAUACUCGCUAGGUGUCGGCCACGGUGCGACCGUUGUCGGUGCCGUAGGGAAGCCGUGAAGCGAGCCACCUGGGAAGUACGGCCGCAAGGCUGAAACUUAAAGGAAUUGGCGGGGGAGCACCAC
rnacentral:rRNA from 1 species